AAAGCUUUAGGUUAAGCAAACUGUAAGUUUUCAAAAUUUACGAUAUCUUUGUAAGGUAAGCUUUG
rnacentral:tRNA from 1 species